CGAUAUAAUUGUGGCAAUGGAAAAGAGGGAGGUGCGGAGGAAAGGAAAAUAUCGAAUAAAGUGAAAUCCCAAAUCCCUGAGGAAUAUUUUAUGAAUUUUAUCCAGUUUUUGUUUAAAUAUAUAGCAAUUUUUAUUGUUUAUUUUAAUUUAUUUGUGUUAUACAAGCUAUAGUGUCUUAAAAAUGUUGUGUUGAUUUUAUCCCUUUGUAGUGAAAAGUUUUCUCUUGUGUGCUAACUUAUUUCCAUCCAAGGAUAAUUGUGGAUCUAAGGGAUAUGCUAGUGUAAAUUAUUUACUAGGUAAAGUGUGUUAUAAAGUAUGUCUUGGGCUCAAAGAAGGGUGCCAGCUGGAGGCCCGCCAUCAGCUAAUGUCCCACCAGUUCAAAUGUACAAUCCAGUUCAACAUUCCAAUACUGCAGAGUGGCAAACUUCAGCCACCCAGCCAUGGCACCAACCGCCACAGCAACAGGUCGUGACGCCAGACCUCAUUCAACAGCAACAGCAGCAACAACACCAACCAUAUUGGCAACAACAACCUGGGCAGGCUUAUCCGGCUCCAAGUCACACGCCCAAUGCUAAUUCAGUAGGGCAGUACCAGCAAUAUCAAGAUCCGCAUAACCAGCAGCAACAGCCUGCAUUUUAUCAGAAUGUCCCGCCUAGCGGAUAUAACACCCAACAGGCCUACGGAAACGUGCAAUAUUCACAGCAGUUUGAUCAAAAUAAUACGUAUAAUAGUCAACAGCAACCUUUGCCGCAACAACAUUCAGCUACCACGGACGCAUGGGGAGAGUGGGGCGGUUGGGGGGAUGAUGAUAAUUCUAACGCUCAAUCUAUGGUUUCACAGCAAGCACAAGCCGUUACUAAUCCAAUAGGUGAAAGCUUUUCAAAGGACGAGUCAUGGAACUGGUCAGUUUCUGAUUCGCAUCGGCAACAAAACGUUUUAGAUACGAAUAGUGCAGCCGUUCCUCCGCCUCAAAACAAUUUGUUUCCUACUAUUGGAGACUUAAAAAAUGCAAAGUCGGAUAAUUUAGGAUUAAGUAACGCUCAUAGAAAAAAACUUGAAACUCCCCAGUGGUCUACCGAAUCCCAACUUUCUUUGGAAUCGUCUGAUGAUGUGCGGACUUCAGAGAGUGAUAAAAGUCACAUGAUAUCGAGGUCUUCAACUAUAAGCCACUCUCCUAUCUUCGGUCAAGAUCCUUUAGUCCCCUCACAAUCUCAUCAUGAGGAAAAUCUGACUACCAAUAGUAACACUAAUUUACAAGUGGAAAAUAGGGAAAUUGUAAGGCACGAAGCUCCUACUCCUCAAGCGGUACAUCCCUUACCUCCUCCUCCAAUAAACACCCAGACGCCACCUUUAUUACCGCCACCACAAGGUGGCACUGACGACUCUCGAAACCCUUACAUCCGUAGCAGCGGAAUUACUCACAAAUCGGCAAGUAAAUUUAAACCUAUCGGAUUAGUAAAUGCGACGGAUAACAGGCCGCCUCUAAUGCCGCCCUCGACCUUUAAUCAAUCCGUUAAUUUGGAAACACUUCCGGAUAACUCGGAACACCCGGACCAUCCGGUAGUAUCGGGCGUUCCGAAGGUCUCUCCUUCAAGUCAACAACAGUGGCCGACGGCGGAUAACAAUGAGGCGCCUAUCAACGAUCGGAAUCAGUAUUUAGAAACGGGCCAUUUAUCUGUGACAAAUUUAUCCGAAGGAAAUGAAGCCCCAACUGAUCCAGCAAAUGACACUUUACCACCCCCAGGACUGCAAAGAAUGGUUCCAGGUCAAUUAGAACAGAGUGAAAGUGGUGUAGGACGGACCGAUCAACCAAUUCCAGGCUUCAGCAGAAUGGUUUUAGGUCGAAACGAGAAUAGUUUAGACUUGUCCGGCCAAAAUGCGUCCCAGUUUGAUCUGAGCGGUCCUCCAGAAGGUCUACAUCGCAUGGUCCCGGGCGAAUCGAGCCCUCCCGAAAUGUUAACUCUUCAAGGAAACAUUGAAAACGACUCUGAGCCCGAAUUGAAUCAGAUUAUCCAGGGUGUGGGUGUUCUUCCUCCCACUAGAUCUGCCACCAUCGGGGCGGAUACUCCUCCACCUUUAGCAGCCCAACCUGAGCCACCAGCAAUUGCAACACCGCCUCGAAUGUCUCCGACUAUUAUGUUAUCGAACCGAUCGGAGACGAUUGGGAGUGAUUUGGCAGCCUCCCUAGGUUCGGACCAAACAGAUCCAACACAAAGUAUUCCAGUGACAUCCCUUGAACCCACUCAAAAUAGCAAAAGAUCGAAAUCUAAAGAUAAAAUUGAACAACCGGAUAAUAGAAGAGAUAGAAAGGCAAUAGAAGGUCGAACGACUGAACAAUCUAUAUCUAAUAUAACUAACGCAGUGCGCAAUUUAACAGUAGGCGAAAAUCUGACUGAUAGUCACACUUCUAAUACGAGUUUACCAGAACAAUCACCAAGACGUUCGAGUAGACAAGAGAGCACCGAUAGUGACAGUGAUAGGAAAAAAUCUUCUAGAAGUCUCAGAGAUAAAAGACCGGAAAAAUCUAAAUCGAGAGAUAAAGAAAGGGACAGAUAUAAGGAGAGAGAAUCUGAAAGGGACAGGUAUAGGGACAGAAACAGCGAAAGAUAUUCACCAGACCCCUAUAGGGAAAAGCGGGAAAGAGACGUAGGAAGGGGCAAAAAUUAUAGAGAGAGGCGCUAUGAAGAAGACACCGAUUACUAUAGUGAUAAAGAAAGAGACAAAGAUCGAAGACAUGAUGAUAGAAGCCGAGAUUACGAACGUAAUUACAACAGCCUUAGAAAAGACAAGGACAAGCGCAGAAAGAGUCGAGACCCAAGGGAUUACAGAGAAAGGGACUCCAGACGCGGUGACUACCAUUAUAGUCGAUACGGCGAUGACUAUGGAAGUGAAAAUCGACCCAGUCGACCAUCCAGUCGCUCGGAAUCGAUGCACAAUGAAUCUUACAGGGAGAGAAGGCAUGAAAGGCAUGACAUUGAACAUCGGGAAAGAAGAAAAGGAGAGUGGGAGGGCGAUAAGGAUAGGACAAGGUAUAGGAAUAGGGAGAGGCGGGACCAAUACAAUCCUUAUCAGAGCUUUGCCUAUGAUCCCUACAACCCUUACUACCAACAAUAUCAAUAUUACGAAAAUCUACGAAGAACGAACCCUCAGGCUUACGCGGAAUGGUACCGGAAAUACUACCAGCAAGCUACCACUGCUAGUAACGCCUCUUUUGCUGGGGAAGAUCGAGCUUCAGUGCACUCUGGUAGAAGCUCUGCUAACGACGAGUUAGCGAAGGAUAGGUAUACGAGACAAAGCUUUUAUAGCCAGUCAAACUACUAUGGACAAUCUAAUUCCGUAUCUGGCCAUUACGGCCUCGAUACUUCUAGCAUCGGAUAUAAUAGACACCUAGACCAGACGGAUAAUUCAAUUUACGAAGAACAAAAAGCUGCAAGGCUCACUCCGGCCAAAUUCGCCACCGCCCACAUGGCCGCCACUAUUGCUUCUGGUAAAUUGGUAAAAAUUUUACCCCACUAUCCCAUGGACGGGCAAAAUGCUACCGUGGAAAUUAGCACAAUGCAAUCCAUGUUGGAAAACGAUCCGAAUUUCAUUGAGUUAAGCUCGUUUCCGGGACCGUUAGUAAAAGGAAUCACUCAUAAGAAACAGAUAAUUGAGUAUUGCGAAGGAAAAAUAAAAGGAGCAGCGUUUAAUAGGGAAAUUUAUGAUGUAGACUCUUACGUUCUGAUGUGGGAGCUGCUUAUUUUGCUUAUUCGUCAGAAUGGGAUGGUAGUUGGAACAGAUAUAGCUGAACUUUUAUUAGUAAACAACACUAACCAGCCUGUAGCUAGACCUGCAUCUGCCUUAUCAGCCAGUAGUAGCAUUGUCGAAGAGAAAAACGAAGUAUCAGAAUCUUCGAAUCAGCCUGUUUCGGAACAUGGCAGCACGAUUUCUAUAUUAAAAGAAGAGGAAGUUACAAAGAGGUUUAGAGAGCAUUUGCUUUAUGGCUCAUGUCAAGAGGCACUUGAUUGGGCCAUGAGACAUGGUCUUUGGGGUCAUGCCUUAUUCCUAGCAAGUAAAUUAGACAAAAGGACCCACGCAAAUGUAAUGAUGCGUUUCGCUAACGGAUUAACUAUGAAUGAUCCAUUGCAAACUUUAUAUCAGUUGUUAUCGGGUAAAAUGCCCGCUGCUGUGACCUGUGUAUCGGAUGAAAAAUGGGGCGAUUGGAGCCCACAUUUAGCGAUGAUUCUCUCCAAUUCCACCCAAAGGCCGGACUUAAACCGUAAAGCCAUUACACAAAUGGGCGACACUUUGCUUAAUCGGGGAAACCUGUAUGCAGCACAGUUUUGUUAUUUGAUGGCUAAUGUUGGAUUUGGCAAACAUACGGAUUCAACUGCUAAAUUGGUUCUUUUGGGUUCCGAUCAUAGAAAAACGUUCCCGCAGUUUGUUACUAACGAAUCUGUUCAUAUGACGGAGAUUUAUGAAUUUGCUUGUGGUUUGAACGAGCCAGAGUUUCAUAUAUCGGAAUUCCAAUUCUACAAAUACAUACUUGCAACUCGUCUCGCUGACUUUGGACUACUCCAGCGAUCACUACAAUACCUCGAACUUCUCGCAUCCGGCAUAAUUCGUAACCUUACGGUUUUCUCCGGGCCAGUUUUAGAGAGCAUUUGUGAGCUAUCCGAUAAAUUGAAAUUCUACGACCCGGUAGGAGAUGUGGAGGAUGAGAGCGAAUUCGGCGCCGCCCUGGAAACGAGUAGACCAGAUAAAUCUUGGUUGAAAAGUCUUAAGGAUUUCCAGAAUGAUCAGGCAGGCGUACUAAAUUAUCCUGUAAACCAAGAUCUACAUACAACUAUUGGUACAGAUCACACCCUACAGCAAUCUUACGUACAAGAUGACGUUUGGCAACAGGAGCAAGAAUUGUACGACCAGAAUCAAAGGCAACAAUUUGAACAGUCCCAAUAUGAAAAUCCGCAAGUUUGGUCUGUUCAAGAUCAAUCCGCUCAGCAAUUUCCAGAGCCAAUUUUAAAUAAUACACACCAGUACCAAGAACCUCAGUCACAAAAUUACUGGCACGAUCAACAGCAAAUGACAUGGAACGAUCAAAACAACCAGUACAAUCAAAGCAAAGAAUCUAAUCGGGAAGAGCAAACUGUUAAUUAUUAUGACAAUUCCAGCAGUCAAAAUGAGCAGAAGGUAGAAAAGCAACUGGACGAUGACCAUUCGAAUGUGCAACCGCAAAUUUCGAUGCCCGGCCAGAAGAUUGGAAAUAGUGCCUUUAACGAUGAACCUCUGGCACAUGAAAAACUACAAGAAAAACCGAACGCUGCUGCGACACCUAAAGUGCAAUCCCCGAAGAAGAAGGAGGAUAAUCAGAGUACCGGUUGGUUUGGUGGGAUUUUCAGUAAGCUGUCUAUGAGACCCAAGAAUCAGAUGAAGUUGCCUGAUGAUAAGAAUCCCAAGAUUGUGUGGGACGAAGAUAAAAAACGUUGGGUAAACGUAGACGAAGGCUCAACCGACCCGGUUAGCGAACUAAAACCGCCUCCGAAACUAUCGGAUCUUAUGCCAAAAGUACCGGUCCCCCAGUCAGGUAUGGGAGUUCUAGAGAGUAACUUGCAUGACAGUAGCAAUUUGAGUUAUGGUAGUGUCAACUUUAAUACCAACAUGGGAGUUACUAAUACUCCGUUUAACGUAGAUCCUAGCCAGAUGACCGCGACUGGACCGAUGUCGUUGCCUAUUAUGGGUAGCAAUAUGCAACGUGAAGAAUCUAUGAUGCAGAAACAGUUGCAGCAAUCGAAUAUGUUUAAGAUGCAAAAAAAUAGAAAUGUAAAAAAUGCCUACGUAGACGUUUUCAAACAAAACGGCGUAAAAGCGAACACGGAUGGUGUUCCCGUACCCGAAAAAGUGCCUCUCGCCGCCCCAUCUCAAAUGAACUUCUUCAUUCCCCAGGCUGUUCCCAAUCCGGAUGCUCCGUUAGAUUUUUUGACGCCAGGUGGCGCUCCUGUUCAUAUUGGAGAACCGCAGAAGAAGGCUAACAAACCGUCCUGAGGCAUCGCUUUCUGAAAUACGGUCUAGAUGGAGUUCGACAAGUUCGCUUUCGAGGGAGGUCGCUUCGUACAUGACCAAAUCGGGACCAAUCGGAUAAGUAGUUUGGCUUUUGGGCAGAAAUAAUUUGCAAAAGUGGACAUAAUAAGUGCUGGAAGGACCUCAAAUUAUCAUGGAUACUUAGGAUUUAGAUUAAUCAUACUUAUUAAAAUUAUAUUAAGGGGAUAGAAUUGCGUUGGUUGCUAGGCUUCAUUCGAUAAUUUUGUGAUUAUUAUAAUAAUAUAUUUAUAUACACUAUGAAAGUUUUAACUCUUAUACAUAUGUAAAAACUUACUUUAAUUGUAUAAUAAUAUUGUUGCCUACGGGAAUAAACUGAUAGAGAAGG